UGCGGCCAAGCAGCGGCUCCUGUGAGGCUCGCGACCCAGCGCUCUCUGGGCUCCCCAGAAGCCAGCCUUUCGUCCCCGGACCCGGCCGCCCCAACAGGAGCCGUGGGGCCGGGCGCCGGCACCCUCCGCGGCGUGCCAUGGGGCCGCGACGCCGGAGCCGCAAGCCCGAGGCCCCGAGGAGGCGCAGCCCUUGCCCGAUCCCCGGCCCCUCCCGGCGGGGCCCCUCCUUAGGCCCUUCCUCCCAUCAACAUGGUCAGCGGACACAAGCUUGGCUAAAGGAGAUCCGAAAGCUUCAGAAGAGCACAUACCUCUUAAUAAGGAAGUACCCCUUCAGCCGCCUGGCAAGAGAAAUAUGUGUUAAAUUCACUCGUAGUGUGGACUUCAAUUGGCAAGCCCAGGCCCUAUUGGCCCUACAAGAUGCCGCAGAAGCAUUUCUAGUUCAUCUCUUUGAAGAUGCCUAUCUCCUCACCUUACAUGCCGGUCGAGUUACUCUCUUCCCAAAGGAUGUGCAACUGGCCUGGAGGAUCCGGGGCAUUGAGGCGGGACUCGUCUGAGCUCCUGCGCCCAGUGUUUUUGUCAGUCUUUCCUGCUCGCCGGGGGGAUGAUACCAGGGACUCUCCGGAGCCAUGACUAGAUCCAGUGGACUCUGCGAUGCUGUCUGGACUUUGCUGUCUCUGAACAGUAUGUGCAUGUUGCUUUAAACUUUUUUUUUUUUUUUUUGAGAAGGAGAAGACUGCGUGACUUUCCUCUGUAACAGAGGUAAUAUAUGAGACAAUCAACACCAUUCCAAAGGCCUGAAAAUAAUUUUCAGAUAAAGAGACUCCAAGGUUGACUUUAGUUUGUGAGUUACUCAUGUGACUGUUUGAGGAUUUUGAAAACAUCAGAUUUGCUGUGGUAUGGGAAAAAGGAUAUGUACUUAUUAUUUUAGAUCUUUCUGUAGUAUUUACAUUUUUUACUAUACGUACAUUUGUACUUCUAUUUUACACAUAAGGGAAAAAAUAAGAGGAGAGCACUUUGAGCAGUUGCCUGGAAGGCUGGGCAUUUCCAGCAUAUAGUCCUCUGCCCUUCAGAGUAGUCUCACCGUUAGUGGCAGCAUCAAGUAACUGAGUGGACUGUGCUUGUCAACACAUGUGUAGCUUUUCAGAAACUUAAUUGGGGAUGAAUAGAAAAUCUGUAAGCUUUGAUGUUCUGGUUCCUUCUAGUAAAUUCCUGUCAAAAUCAAUUCAGAAAUUCUAACUUGUAGAAUUUAACAUUUUACUCUUGUAAAUCAUAGAAGAUGUAUCUUAUCAGUUCAGGAUUUUAAAGUACCGUUUCGAUGCUUUAACAGGUAUUUUUGUAGUUUCUUUGUAGAGAGAUAAUAAAAAUCAAAAUAAUUAUUUAA